UGGGGAAUAUUGCACAAUGGGCGCAAGCCUGAUGCAGCCAUGCCGCGUGUAUGAAGAAGGCCUUCGGGUUGUAAAGUACUUUCAGCGGGGAUGAAGGGAGUAAAGUUAAUACCUUUGCUCAUUGACGUUACCCGCAGAAGAAGCACCGGCUAACUCCGUGCCAGCAGCCGCGGUAAUACGGAGGGGGCAAGCGUUAAUCGGAAUUACUGGGCGUAAAGCGCACGCAGGCGGUUUGUUAAGUCAGAUGUGAAAUCCCCGGGCUCAACCUGGGAACUGCAUCUGAUACUGGCAAGCUUGAGUCUCGUAGAGGGGGGUAGAAUUCCAGGUGUAGCGGUGAAAUGCGUAGAGAUCUGGAGGAAUACCGGUGGCGAAGGCGGCCCCCUGGACGAAGACUGACGCUCAGGUGCGAAAGCGUGGGGAGCAAACA
rnacentral:rRNA from 1 species